rnacentral:rRNA from 1 species
UACGGGGGGGGCAAGCGUUGUUCGGAAUUACUGGGCGUAAAGGGCUCGUAGGCGGCCAACUAAGUCAGACGUGAAAUCCCCAGGCUUAACCUGGGAACUGCGUCUGAUACUGGAUGGCUUGAAUUCGGGAGAGGGAUGCAGAAUUCCAGGUGUAGCGGUGAAAUGCGUAGAUAUCUGGAGGAAUACCGGUGGCGAAGGCGGGUCUCUGGGCAGUAUCUGACGCUGAGGAGCGAAAGCGUGGGGAGCGAACAGG